rfam:Clostridium nexile CAG:348 genomic scaffold, scf14
UAAAAGGAUAGAGGUGCGGAUUUCAUCAGUAUUGUGUGGCAAAGUUGGACAGCCGCCACAUACGAAAGGGAAAGUCGCCGAAGAGAUGUUUUUUUGUCCAGAAAGAUAUCUCUGGGAUAUUGCAGAAUAUGCAAUAUACUGUCACUUAUGUGGAGAGCUAUCGUUGGU